UGAGCAAUCUGCCCUUCUCUUCGGAAUAAGCGUUGGAAACGACGUCUAAUGCCGAAUACGACCUCCUUUCGCAUGAUCGGAGGUGGAAAGCUCCGGCGGAGAAGGAUGAGCUCGCGGCCUAUCAGCUAGUUGGUGUGGGUAAUGGCCCACAAGGCGACGACGGGUAGCCGGCCUGAGAGGGUGACCGGCCACACUGGGACUGAGACACGGCCCAGACCUCCUAUGGGAGCAG
rnacentral:rRNA from 1 species